rnacentral:rRNA from 1 species
GACGAACGCUGGCGGCGUGCUUAACACAUGCAAGUCGAACGGAAAGGCCCCUUUGGGGGUCCUUGAGUGGCGAACGGGUGCGUAACACGUGAGUAACCUGCCCUUGACUUCGGGAUAACUUCAGGAAAGUGGGGCUAAUACCGGAUAGGAAUCCUUGCUGCAUGGGGGGGGUUGGAAAGCUUUAGCGGGUUUGGAUGGACUCGCGGCCUAUCAGCUUGUUGGUGGGGUAGUGGGUUACCAAGGCAUUGACGGGUAGCUGGCCUGAGAGGGCGACCGGCCACAUUGGGGCUGAGGGGCGGCCCAGACGCCUACGAGUGGCAGCAGGGGGGAAUAUUGCACAAUGGGCGGCGGCCGGAUGCAGCAGCGCCGCGGGCUGGAUGACGGCCUUCGUGUGGUAGAACGCUUUCAGCAGGGGCGAAGCUUGUGGUGACGGUACCUGCAGAAGAAGCACCGGCUAACUACGUG